UACGUAGGGUGCGAGCGUUGUCCGGAAUUACUGGGCGUAAAGAGCUCGUAGGUGGUUUGUCGCGUUGUUCGUGAAAACUCACAGCUCAACUGUGGGCGUGCGGGCGAUACGGGCAGACUGGAGUACUGCAGGGGAGACUGGAAUUCCUGGUGUAGCGGUGGAAUGCGCAGAUAUCAGGAGGAACACCGGUGGCGAAGGCGGGUCUCUGGGCCGAUACUGACGCCGAGGAGCGAAAGCGUGGGGAGCGAACAGG
rnacentral:rRNA from 1 species